rnacentral:rRNA from 1 species
AGAGCGAACGCUGGCGGCGUACUUAACACAUGCAAGUCGAACGAGGAUCGUCGGGUUAGCAAUAAUUCGGCGGUUCUAGUGGCGUACGGGUGAGUAACACGUGGGCAACUUGCCCUAGAGACCGGGAUACCCUCUCGAAAGGGAGGCUAAUACUGGAUACGUUCUUCGGGUCGCAAGAUCUGGAGAGGAAAGGUGGCGCAAGCUACCGCUCUUGGAGAGGCUCGCGGCCUAUCAGCUAGUUGGUGAGGUAACGGCUCACCAAGGCUAUGACGGGUAGCUGGUCUGAGAGGACGACCAGCCACACGGGAACUGAGACACGGUCCCGACUCCUACGGGAGGCAGCAGUGGGAAUUUCGCAAUGGGCAAAGCUGACGGAGUGACGCCGCGUGGGGGACGAAGGCCUUCGGGUGUAAACCCCGUGUCAGAGGAAGAAGGUAGUCGGCGUGAUAACCGCCGGCACUUGACGGUACCUUCAGAGGAAGCCCCGGACCAACGUCUAGUGCCACAGCCGCGGUAAACUCUGA